CUUUUCCAGGAUGGGCCUGGACCCCAGACCACCUGCUGCUUUGUUGCUUCCCCUGGUCUCAGCACCCCGAGAAGAUGCCUGGGUGGUCACUCUGCCGCCUGGUCCUCACCCCUCCACCUUGGCAGGGACAGGAGAGUCCCCAAGGUCGGUGAGGUGGUACUUCCAACAUGAAGUGUCCAUUGGGAGGCUCCAGGAUCCCACAUUAAACUCAGAAUAUGAAGACCCCAAUUCUCUUAUAUUUAGGCAGAUUGGGGCUGAAGACACUGAGGCCAGGAAGGUGCAGGACCCUGUCCACGGUUAUGCGGCAAGCAGGUGGCAGAGCAGGAAGAACGCAGAUUCACCUGACGCUGAACGACGUAACCACUUUAUGAUUUGCCCCAGGGCCUGGUUGUCCAUCCUAGUCGUCAGUCGUUCUACUUCUUCUACGUGAGCUGCUGGCACAGCAUGGCUACUGACAGAUGGGCAGUGUGGUUCCUCGACUGGGAAGUGAACCUGGGCCGCCAUGGUGGAGUGUGCAGAACUUUAAC
rnacentral:lncRNA from 1 species